ensembl:snRNA U6 U6 spliceosomal RNA
UUGCUUCAGCACCACAUAUACUAAAAUUGGAAUGAUACAGACAACAUUAGCAUGGCCCCAGCAGAAGGAUGACAGGCAAAUUUGUGAAGUGUUCCGUAUUUUU